UACGUAGGGGGCAAGCGUUGUCCGGAUUUAUUGGGCGUAAAGAGCGUGUAGGCGGCUAUGCAGGUCCGCUGUGAAAACUCGAGGCUCAACCUCGAGACGUCGGUGGAAACCGCAUGGCUAGAGUCCGGAAGAGGAGAGUGGAAUUCCCGGUGUAGCGGUGAAAUGCGCAGAUAUCGGGAAGAACACCCGUGGCGAAGGCGGCUCUCUGG
rnacentral:rRNA from 1 species